rnacentral:rRNA from 1 species
UACAGAGGUCUCAAGCGUUGUUCGGAUUCAUUGGGCGUAAAGGGUGUGUAGGUGGCGCGCUAAGUCGGGGUGUGAAAUUUCGGAGCUUAACUCCGAAACUGCAUUCGAUACUGGCGUGCUUGAGGACUGGAGAGGAGACUGGAAUUCAUGGUGUAGCAGUGAAAUGCGUAGAGAUCAUGAGGAAGACCAGUGGCGAAGGCGGGUCUCUGGACAGUUCCUGACACUGAGAGCACGAAGGCCAGGGGAGCAAACGGG